rnacentral:rRNA from 1 species
AACGAACGCUGGCGGCAGGCUUAACACAUGCAAGUCGAGCGCCCCGCAAGGGGAGCGGCAGACGGGUGAGUAACGCGUGGGAAUCUACCCAUCUCUACGGAAUAACGCAUGGAAACGUGUGCUAAUACCGUAUACGUCCUUCGGGAGAAAGAUUUAUCGGAGAUGGAUGAGCCCGCGUUGGAUUAGCUAGUUGGUGGGGUAAAGGCCUACCAAGGCGACGAUCCAUAGCUGGUCUGAGAGGAUGGUCAGCCACACUGGGACUAAGACACGGCCCAGACUCCUACGGGAGGCAGCAGUGGGGAAUAUUGGACAAUGGGCGGAAGCAUGAUCCAGCCAUGCCGCGUGAGUGAUGAAGGCCCUAGGGUUGUAAAGCUCUUUCACCGGUGAAGGUAAUGACGGUAACCGGAGAAGAAGCCCCGGCUAACUUCGUGCCAGCAGCCGCCGUAAGAC